UAGCUGAAUUGACCUGACAUGGGACUUGAACUCAAGAUCAUGACCUGAGCAGAAGUUCGAUGCUUAAUUGACAGAGCUGCCCAGCUGCCCCAAAUUAUCAGUGAACUUUCUGUGUCAUGCAGGGAGAUGGAAGGAAGUAGUCCAAAUGGUCAGGACAAGAAUAAGCCACAUGACUGAACCAAGUGCAGCUACUUAACAGUUCAGCCUGAAAUGCUUGGCUUUGGAACUGGGGAACCCAAGUACUUAGACAUGAUGGUGGUAGGGAGCUCCCCAAGAGGACAGUGAGCUGUAGCUCUGAAACAAAGGAUUCCCCGUUCACGUUCACGUGCAAAGUCACCAGGGUUUCCUCCGGGGAGCACCUCCUCCCACCCAGUGAGCGGGAAGCUGCAAAGAGGAGGAGAAUCUGGGGAGAAAGGCACGUGGGAAGGAGGCAUUCCCCGUGCCCCGAGUCUGGAACCUUCAAAGGGAGAACAGAACCAGGUAGUGAUAUGCCAUCAAGUCCCAAUUACCUGCAAGAGAAUUUCCUGCCCCCGUUUCUCGUGGCUAACCUUAGGAUCCACACUGUUGAUGUCAUGGCUUCGCCCUCUCGACCUAACUCUUCUGUGGUGCUUAGCACUAC